UACGGAGGGUGCAAGCGUUAUCCGGGUUUACUGGGUUUAAAGGGUGCGCAGGCGGAUAUGUAAGUCAGUGGUGAAAUCUCUAGGCUUAACCUGGAAAUUGCCGUUGAUACUAUAUAUCUUGAAUGCUGUGGAGGUAAGCGGAAUAUGUCAUGUAGCGGUGAAAUGCUUAGAUAUGACAUAGAACACCUAUUGCGAAGGCAGCUUACUACGCAGAUAUUGACGCUCAUGCACGAAAGCGUGGGGAUCAAACAGG
rnacentral:rRNA from 1 species